rnacentral:miRNA from 1 species
AUGAGGUUGAGAGAGAGGAUGAGAGGGGAGGAGUUACAAAAGUGGAAACAAAAACUUGAAAGUGAAAACAAUUUCAAAGAGAUUUCAGGUUUUAGUUUUUGUUUUCACUUUUGUUACUCCUCCCUACCAUCACCCCUUCUCAUCUUCCCU